ACAACAUACUUUUGGAAUCAGCAGAACAAAGAGAUUUUUCAGGCACCUCUAAGAGUUGUCAGAAACGAUGCAGCUGGACACUAUCUGUUGCUUGAGUCUCCGAAACAAUUCAAGAUGAUGUUUAGAGGUUGUACAAAGAAGUAAUUGUGUUCCUUCUGGAUGUGAGUGAAAACUUAUCAAACUGAGAAGGUGAACUCCCUGUACACGUGGAGCUCUUGUUACUGCCCUACUUCAUCUCUUACCAUUGCAGACCACCAGGAAGGGAGCUCUAACUCCCUGUCCAUUGGGCCCUUUGACCUCCCUGCUAACUACAAACCACGAACAUAGUUCAGUGAAUUCCGAAUUAGUCAUCACAUUCUGGCUGUGA
rnacentral:lncRNA from 1 species